UAAUACGUAGGGUCCAAGCGUUGUCCGGAAUUAUUGGGCGUAAAGAGCUCGUAGGCGGUCCGUUAAGUCGGAAGUGAAAUCUCAAGGCUCAACCUUGAAAUCGCUUUCGAUACUGGCGGACUUGAGGCAGGUAGGGGAAGGUGGAAUUCCUGGUGUAGCGGUGAAAUGCGCAGAUAUCAGGAGGAACACCGGUGGCGAAGGCGGCCUUCUGGGCCUGUUCUGACGCUGAGGAGCGAAAGCGUGGGGAGCAAACAGGAUUAGAUACCCUGGUAGUCCACGCCGUAAACGAUGGGUGCUAGGUGUGGGGGGUUAUCCACUCCCUCCGUGCCGUAGCUAACGCAUUAAGCACCCCGCCUGGGGAUUACGACCGCAAGGUUA
rnacentral:rRNA from 1 species